ensembl:lncRNA
GCUUCUCACGAGGACUAGCGAGAGCCGUCACUAAAUCACGUCAGGUUUUUCUCUCUGAUUUUCGCGGCUGUUCUGUCGCUUUUCCCGCGCAGCGCGGAUGGGACGGGAAUCAAUAGCAACUUUGAUUUCCAGCCAUCUGAAGUACCAGCACGCAACUUUGAAUGCUUCCAUUACCUCAGUUUAACCUUUUUUGAGCUGAAAUCAUAACUUUGAGAGGCAGCUUUUUUCUCUGUAGGUUUUUAAGAAGUCAGUUAACAUCAUUUUGUAGAGCAAGCCACACAUCAGAGUUCAGAAAUGAUUGACGUUAUAAGGCUUCGUUUUGUCAAACGGAAAAAACUGGCUUGUUCACCCUAAACUGAAAUGUCAUCAUUUAUUCAUGUCGUUCAAACCUAGUAUUAUUUUCUUUCUAAUGUAAAACAUGAUGUCCAAGCAUGUCUUUCAUAAAACAGAAGUGGAUGGAAGGCCCAUAAGGUCAUGAUGACUCAUAUCAGUAUUCCUGUUUGUGUUAAUCAUGUUCAUAAAGGGGUGUGAAUUUGAAAGACAACAAGGGCUUCUCUGUUCUUGCUCUCACCGCCUUGCCGAUGUGUCCUGUAUUUUUGCAAUGUUUGAUCAACUAUUGGGACACAGGCUGGAGAAUGGAAAGAAGAAAGAAAAUAAGACUAGAACAACACAUUGUACAUGUCGGCAUCUUCUCAGUGGCUCAGGCGACUGCAGGGCAAGAUCUCUGGUGUAUGAGCGAGUAGCAGGUUACUGGAAAAACAGUGGUGUGAUAACAUAUGUCACUGCCAGAUCCUGGAGAGCGUUCGAUGGAGGAGCAUCAUAGGAGGUAUGUUUGUGAUGUGAUGUCGCCAACCAACACCGAAAAUGUUCACUGCAGGUUGAAUCCGCAUUUCGUUUGUGGAUUGCUGGAGGUGACACAUCAGGACACUAGGAUGCAUUUGGUACAGAUUAGGGGCAGUUGAGAUGGAUUAUUAGGGUGAAAAAUGACUCCGAGAUGGAAUUGUAGGAGGGCUGGCUGGCAAAGAACAGAUCCUGACAGCUGUUGGUCCUCCAGCUUCUCUCAGCAGGAGAUAGUCGCAGACAUGCCCACAGACGCCUACCACAACAACAGCCAACAGGCCGAAAUAUUAUCCUACACACAAACAGACAAGAAAACAUUACUUUAGAAUGUUUAAGAGUUCUAUGUGGAGCAGUUACAAAAUAGAGAUGAACAGUGAUGCACCAAAGGUUUUUUUUUAACCGAAACACCAAAAACAAAAGUGUUAAUUUGGCCCAAAAUUAAAAAUUAAUUAGGGUAAAUAAAACUUAAAUUCAGGGUGUCA